rnacentral:rRNA from 1 species
AUGCAAGAAAUUGUAUGUGCAUGUGCGGGCAAACCACUAAAGGAGAACACCCGUUCAACGAGAUGUGGUUGCACAGCUAUGAUUAGGCUGCUUAGGUCCAGUGAUAAUGGUUGGUACAUAUCAGAACAUAAAGAAGCUCAUAACCAUCCAUUGUCUUUGACUUGCGGGGAGAAAAUGCAUUGGAAGUCACAUAGGCAUAUUGAUCGGUACGCGAAGGAUCUGGUGAAGCAACUGCGGGACAACAAUGUAGGGCUUGGCAAGGUGUUCAGCAUCGUUGGUAGUUUCUUUGGAUCGGUGGAGAAUGUCCCGUUCACAAAACGCUCUUUGAAGACUCUGUGCCGGAAGCUUAACAAGGAGCAAUCUGAUUUUGAUGCGAUGAAGACAAUGGACAUUUUGUCAGAGAUGAAAGCAAAUGACCCUGAUUUCAAUUAUACAGUGCAGGUGGAUGAGGAGAGUCGGAUUAAAACUUUGAUGUGGGUGACUAGCAGGGGCUGUGAUCAGUACAGGUGUUUUGGAGAUGUUAUCACGUUUGACACGGCAUACCGAACGAACCUGUAUGACAUGCCGUUUGGGCUGUUUGUCGGGGUAAAUAACCACUUCCAGAGUAUAAUAUUCGGAGGUGUCAUGGUUAGAGAUGAAAAAGAGGAAACAUUUAAAUGGGUUUUCAGGGAAUUCAUUCGCAUGGUGGGAGGGAAGCACCCCAAAACGAUUCUGACAGAUCAGGCAAGAUCAAUGGAAAUUGCUGUCGAAGCUGAGCUACCGAACACAGUGCACCGGUGGUGUAAAUGGCAUGUCUUGCGGAAGGCUAAAGAGUCGAUGGGGACACUUUGGAGCAAGAAAAGCGAUUUCAAAUUAGAGUUCCAUAAGCUUGUGCACCACAUGUUAACAGAGGAGGAGUUUGAGGCCGGAUGGGAUGAAAUGUUGGAGAAGUAUUCUCUCCGCAAACAUCCUUUCCUGACGCAGAUAUACGAGGUUCGCCAUAAGUGGGCGAAGCCGUACUUUAGAGGUGUGUUUUGUGUAAAAAUGACCAGCACUCAGCGUAGCGAGAGCGCAAACCACCUCCUCAAGGGCUACGUCCCUCCUGGGUGUCCCAUGCAUUUGUUUUUGAGGCAGUUUGAGAAGCUCCAAUUCGACAGGGAGUCCGAGGAGAGCUUCCAAGAGAAAAGAACAUCCCUGAGUGGUGUUUCUCUAAAAGUAAAUCUGCCUAUCGAGAGGCAUGCAAGCAAGGUUUACACAAGGGCCAUGUUUGAACAGUUUGGUGAAGCAUUGUAUAAGUCCUUUUCAUACGUGCGGCUAGGUUGCCUUUUCCAUAGGCUGUCACUAGGUUGCCUUUUCGCCAGAAUACGCGCGGCUACGGUGUCAGCUCGGACCGGAAUACGCGCCAGAUGUGGAUCACGAGGAAGCUGGACGGCCAGGAUAACAACCGUCAACCACCAUUCGCAUUUUUCGCUGCAACUUCCCCCAUCUGCGGGAAGCCUUCCAAAUUCAUGUCGCCGUUCCAACAUAGUUCCAAAAAUCACAAACGUUUCUUAA